CUUACAUCUCUUCGGAGCAUUUUACGAGGUGCUGCAUGGUUGUCGUCAGCUCGUGCCGUGAGGUGUCGGGUUAAGUCCCAUAACGAGCGCAACCCUACCUUUAGUUGCCAUCAGGUAAUGCUGGGGACUCUAAAGGAACUGCCUACGCAAGUAGUGAGGAAGGCGGGGAGUGACGUCAAAUCAGCACGGCCCUUACGUCCAGGGCUACACACGUGCUACAAUGGCCGAUACAGAGGGCAGCUACCUGGUGACAGGAUGCAAAUCUCCAAAGUCGGUCUCAGUUCGGAUCGGAGUCUGCAACCCGACUCCGUGAAGUUGGAUUCGCUAGUAAUCGCGCAUCAGCCAUGGCGCGGUGAAUACGUUCCCGGGCCUU
rnacentral:rRNA from 1 species